rnacentral:rRNA from 1 species
GACGAACGCUGGCGGCGUGCUUAACACAUGCAAGUCGAACGGAAAGGCCCUGCUUUUGUGGGGUGCUCGAGUGGCGAACGGGUGAGUAACACGUGAGUAACCUGCCCUUGACUUUGGGAUAACUUCAGGAAACUGGGGCUAAUACCGGAUAGGAGCUCCUGCUGCAUGGUGGGGGUUGGAAAGUUUCGGCGGUUGGGGAUGGACUCGCGGCUUAUCAGCUUGUUGGUGGGGUAGUGGCUUACCAAGGCUUUGACGGGUAGCCGGCCUGAGAGGGUGACCGGCCACAUUGGGACUGAGAUACGGCCCAGACUACUGCGGGAGGCAGCAGUGGGGAAUAUUGCACAAUGGGCGGAAGCCUGAUGCAGCAACGCCGCGUGCGGGAUGACGGCCUUCGGGUUGUAAACCGCUUUCGCCUGUGACGAAGCGUGAGUGACGGUAAUGGGUAAAGAAGCACCGGCUAACUACGUG